rnacentral:rRNA from 1 species
GAUGAACGCUCGCGGCAGGCCUAACACAUGCAAGUCGAGGGAGAAGCCCUUUCGGGGGCGGAGACCGGCGCACGGGUACGUAACGCGUAUGCAACCUACCUUUCACCGGGGGAUAGCCCGAAGAACUUUGAAUUAAUACCCCAUCCUAUUAGUGGAUGGCAUCAUUUGAUAAUGAAAACUGCGUUGGGGCAAGAUGGGCAUGCGUCCUAUUAGCUAGUUGGAGUGGUAACGGCACCCCAAGCCUACGCUAGGUAGGGUUCCUGAGAGGGAGAUCCCUCACAGGGGUACUGAGACAGGUACCACACUCCUACGGGCGGCAGCAGUGAGGAAGAUUGGUCAAUGGUCGGAAGACUGAACCAGCCAUGCCGCGUGCAGGAAGAAUGCCUUAUGGGUUGUAAACUGCGUUUAUAUGGGAAGAAUAAGGCGUACGUGUACGUUGAUGACGGUACUAUAUGAAUAAGCAUCGGCUAACUCCGUG